rnacentral:snRNA from 11 species
AGCUUUGCACAGUGGCAGUAUCGUAGCCAAUGAGGGUUAUCCGAGGCGCGAUUAUUGCUAAUUGAAAACUUUAAAAGAGAACAAACUCCAGAUCAGUGAUGUACACUGUGCUAGACGAU